rnacentral:rRNA from 5 species
UAGACCUCAAAUCAGGU